UACGGAGGAUCCAAGCGUUAUCCGGAUUCAUUGGGUUUAAAGGGUGCGUAGGCGGAAUGAUAAGUCAGUGGUGAAAGCCUGCAGCUUAACUGCAGAACUGCCAUUGAUACUGUCAAUCUUGAGUACAUUUGAUGUGGGCGGAAUGUGUCAUGUAGCGGUGAAAUGCUUAGAUAUGACACAGAACACCGAUUGCGAAGGCAGCUCACAAAACUGUAACUGACGCUGAGGCACGAAAGCGUGGGUAUCAAACAGGAUUAGAUACCCUGGUAGUCCACGCUGUAAACUAUGAUUACUCGAUGUUUGCGAUACACUGUAAGCGUCUAAGCGAAAGCGAUAAGUAAUCCACCUGGGGAGUACGCUCGCAAGAGUGAA
rnacentral:rRNA from 1 species